rnacentral:rRNA from 1 species
GGCUCAGGACGAACGCUGGCGGCGUGCUUAACACAUGCAAGUCGAACGCUGAAGCCCGCUUCGGUGGGUGGAUGAGUGGCGAACGGGUGAGUAACACGUGGACAAUCUGCCCUGCACUUCGGGAUAAGCCUUGGAAACGGGGUCUAAUACCGGAUAGGACACUGCAUCGCAUGGUGUGGUGUGGAAAGCGUUUAAUGCGGUGUGGGAUGAGUCCGCGGCCUAUCAGCUUGUUGGUGGGGUGAUGGCCUACCAAGGCGACGACGGGUAGCCGGCCUGAGAGGGUGACCGGCCACACUGGGACUGAGACACGGCCCAGACUCCUACGGGAGGCAGCAGUGGGGAAUCUUGCGCAAUGGGCGGAAGCCUGACGCAGCAAACCGCCGCGUGGGGGAUGACGGCCUUCGGGUUGUAAACCUCUUUCGGCAUCGACGAAGGCUCUCGUGUUCGGGGGUUGACGGUAGGUGCAGAAGAAGCACCGGCUAACUACGUGCCAGCCGCAGC